ensembl:lncRNA
CCUGUCACUGGCACAGGCGGUUGUCCCCACGUGCUUCAAGUCCGCAACCGUUGUGCCAGUGCCGAAGCAGUCGACUGCAUCUAGCCUGAAUGACCACGAUAAUGAAGUGCUUCGAAAGACUAGUUCUGGCCAACCUUAAGUCCUACCUCCCCCAACACUGGAUCCCUACCAGUUUGCCUACCAGUCAAACAGGUCUACAGAGGCCAUCACAACAGCUUUACACUCUGCCCUGACCCACCUGGACAAAACCAACAUCUAUGUCAUGUGUGGAUCAUUGUUAUUGUCAGUUCGUCUAUUGGCUGAUCAACAAACUCCAUGACCUGGGGAUCAGCCACUCUCUCUGCAACUGUACUUUGGACUUCCAAACCAAGAGACGCCAGG